GCGACGCAAGGGCCGCUUGGUCCCUCGCUGCCGCCACCGCGUCAAACUCUCGCAAACACGCACCCGAGCUUCUCGUGUCACCAAAUGCGUGCGGCGGCUGCGGAAUCUGCUCCCGACGCGCUCGCCUUAUCGCCCGAGGGCCGUAUCCCGGUAUUUGGGGAGGAUUCAAAGGAACAUUUAUUCUUCAACACCGUCACGUCUUUUCCCGAGGGUGUCGCGGCCUUGGACCUGGGCCGGCUCGGGGGGCAGGAGGUUUUUUUUUCUUCGAAGGCUCCCUUUAACCCCUCCGUGGACGGUGAUUCAUAUUGUCAACCCUUCUGGAGUGGACACUGAGUUUGCGUCCAAACUUCCAGUGGCUGUACAAAGUCAUAAAUCAUCGGACGGCGUCCCCGAGGUGACUGUCAGUGUCCACGUAGGAAUAGUGAUUCCUUCUCCCUAAGUGAAAAAGCAAACGGCCAGCAGACGGAAAGGAUAAAUCACUCCUUCAGGCGAAGACAGACCCGGGAGGGAUCGAAACAAACAGGCCGUCGGUCCGGACCGGCCUCGGCUUGUUUAAGCCAUUACCAUUUGCGACACCACCAAACGUGACAACGGCGGCAAAAAUCUCCAAAGUGCCAGGCGGGAAGACUGGCCGAUAUGACACAAGUGGAGCACGUUGUGAGAGUUCUGCCCCAACCUUCCAAAAGCGGGCAUGGUAGCUUCAUGAAGCCUCCACCAAUUGUCCAAAUGGCUGCACCAAAGUCAGCCAGGGCAAGAGUUGGAAUGUCACUGGCGGAUGCAGUCCUCCAGAGUCCCGCCGUCAAAACAGAUGUCGCUGCGCUCAGGCCGUCAUAAACGGCAAAGGACGCCUCAACCUGGCUCGGGACCGACGCACGAUAUGUCACGCCGACAAAACAUAAAGUUGCCCUGUUAGCGAGAGGUUUUGGACCUUUGGGCUGUGCCGGUCGGUCGGUCGGUCGGUGGUUUGUUUGUUUGUAAGGACAAGGAUCUCUCUCAUUGGGUUUGUUUGCCCGUCAAGUGUUUUAGCAAAUAUAUUCAUCAUCAUAAAAAUUGUAGUUCUCUUGAGAAAGACAGAGGGAAAGGUCUCAGAUGUGCGUUUGGGUUUGGCUCUUCUGACUGCACAAAAAUAGGCCAUGCAGUCUUUUCAAGUUUCCAGCGAGACGGGCUGGGCCAGGCCGGGCCAGGCCGGGCCGGGCCCCGUUUCUGCCGGUCGUCAGUCAGUCACCCCCAUUAGCGAUAAUGACACGGACCGACCAAAAUCCAUUUCAAUCAGAACCCAGGUCUGAAGUGGUGGCCAUAUUGGAUGUGGCAAGACCCUCUCGCAUCCGGGCGAGACGAGAAACACCGAGUUUCUGCCUCGGGUUGGGUCGAUAACAACACUAAUACUUGUUUUUCUGUCCUGUGUCAAAUUAGAAGAUGUUUCUUUUCACAUUAGAGAUACUUGAAGACCGUGGUUGAGAAAUAUCUCGCUACGACUCCGCAUCUGUUGCGUCAUUGUCCUCAAUACCCUGUUC